AUUGAACGCUGGCGGCAGGCCUAACACAUGCAAGUCGAGCGGAGCGGCGGACGGGUGAGUAAUGCCUAGGAAUCUGCCUGGUAGUGGGGGAUAACGUCCGGAAACGGGCGCUAAUACCGCAUACUAUCAGAUGAGCCUAGGUCGGAUUGGCUAGUUGGUGGGGUAAAGGCAUACCAAGGCGACGAUCAGGAACUGGUCUGAGAGGAUGAUCAGUCACACGGGGACUGAGACACGGUCAAGCCUCCUACGGGAGGCAGCAGUGGGGAAGAUUGCACAAUGGGCGCAAGCCUGAGGCAGCAAUUCCGCGUGUAUGAAGAAGGCCUUCGGGUUGUAAAGUACUUUCAGCGGGGAGGCGUUACCCGCAGAAGAAGCACCGGCUAACUCCGUGCCAGCAGCCGCGGUAGUAC
rnacentral:rRNA from 1 species